AGAGAGUCUUCUUCUGCCUGGGUUUAUCUUACUUUCUUUGCCCUCUUUCUCCUCUUACUUGCCCUUAGUUUUUGGUUGCUUGACUUUUCCUUUACUUCCAAUUUUACUUUUCCAAUUUUUUGCCAUCUAAAAUCCCACAGCCAGAAGAGAUGCCUGCAUUCUAAGAAUGUCACAACUAUUGCUUUUUCCAGGUGGCAUCUCUUGCAAGCCCAGAAAAGAAGUCCUGGUGCCCUUUAUCCACAUAUACACACCUGCUGUGCUUAAAUACUCACAGUAGAACAGAUCCUCAGUUUUGUUUGCUUUAACUGAGAAAAUCAUUAAUUCCCAGCUGAGAGAGGAGGAAGGAUGUAAUAGUCAAUCUGAGAAAACAAAGUCAAAACAGGAAUGCAGCUACAGACACUGUAACCACCUAACUUGGCAAGGAGAGGGAAGAAAUCCUCAUUCAUCACUGGGACUAUGCACUUUCUAUCUCAUCCUCUGUGGUGCUACAUACAGAAGAAACAUGCUUGCAACUAUGUGCGCAUGCAAAUGAGAGAUUGGAAAAAAUUGGACCAUGUUUUUCAGGAGGCUGUUCUCGAUCUGCAUAUUGUCAAGAAAGAGAUUGGUCUUCUAUCACUGAAAUAUCCUGGUUUUGCAGUCUUCCUCCUCCUUAUUAUUUUCUUCCUCCUCAUUUCUUUUCCCAUUUUUCACUUUCAAGGAACUAAAAAAAAUAAAAAAUCAUGCAUACAGGCAAAAUUAUCAUUAAAAAAGUGUAAACCUGGUUUUUCCUCUACUGAAGAUCUAUUUUGCUCAAUACAUGUCAAAAGUGUCAGAGACACUUUUUUGUCCCACAUCAAUUAAAAACUACUCAGAAAGUUGCAGAAGAGUAAGAUAUUAAGGACUUGGGAUAAAAUUUGCAGAAGAAAAGCAAAACCAUUGGCUUGAGGAAAUCCUGGAUUUCGCCUUCCAUUUUCUCACUAUGGCAGUAUUAAAAGUUUUUAAUGACAAAGGAAA